AGUACAGGGAUGGAGAGGAACUCCAGGCAUCUGCUCCAGGGGUCACCGAGGACUGAGAUGGUUCGGAAUGUGGAAGCUCACUGCCUCCCUUGGCUUCUUCACCACCCCUCCCCCUCUCUAGGCCUGCUUCCAGUCUGUAGUUCACCUGCUUCCAAAACCUCGACCUUCAUCACGAACACAGAUCCAAGCUGAGAUACUCAAAAGUCACACCUGAGACCCCAAGACAGGUGGAAGGACGUUGGACCCCAGGACCUAGGACUGUGCAAUCAAUGCUCCCACCCCACAGCAGACCCCCACUCCCAGUCCUUUGGCUCCCAGGACCCAUUUUCUUCUCCAGGAAGCUCAUGGCCUCUAUCUUGCCAGGUCUCCUGGAGUUUCCUGGCUGGACAGGAUGUUCAGAUGAGAGGGGACCAAAAGCCUUUACAUACAACCAGCAUUGCAGAAGCUUCUGGAAUCUUCUCCUGCCAUGUUCUUAGCCAUCAGAUGCAGCUAGGGCAUUUGUGAGCUGGGUUGAGGCUGGGACAACAGGGGACCUGGGGACUGUUAAGAAGCAAGAGCAUGUCUGCUUCUUUUAUGACCUUCAAUAUUAGUCACCAGGAAGUUGCCCCAUGAAGCCCACGACCUCGUAUCACUAACUCAGCUUGAAUUGAUUAAGGAGACUGGGAUGA
rnacentral:lncRNA from 1 species